GCUGGCUGGAAGGCAGAUCAACGUGUCUGUUGCUGCUGACGAGCUUGAGUGCAUGUCCUCUCCAUAUAUUCCGCCACACUGCAGAGAUAACCCACGCAUGCAUGGAGAGAACAUGCAAACUCCACACAGAGAUGCCCAAAGGAGAUUCGAAACCAGAUCUUCACGAUCUCCUGACUGUGUGGACAACAUGCUAACCGCUAGGCCACUGUGCGGCCCCCCUAGAGUAACAAAUUAGCUUAAAGAUGCAUUG